rnacentral:rRNA from 1 species
CGAGCACGCGCGUGUGGCAUAUCAAUAAGCGGAGGAAAAGAAACUAACAAGGAUUCCCUUAGUAACGGCGAGUGAAGCGGGAAGAGCUCAAAUUUGAAAUCUUCAAGGUUCUACCUUGACGAAUUGUAGUUUAUAGAAGUGUUUUCUGUUAGUGGAGUGGCAAAAGUUCUUUGGAAUAGGACAUCAUAGAGGGUGAGAAUCCCGUAUUUGGUCAUUCCUCCUAGCGUUGUGAUACACUUUCAACGAGUCGGAUUGUUUGGGAAUGCAGUCCAAAAUGGGUGGUAAAUUUCAUCUAAAGCUAAAUAUUGGCGAGAGACCGAUAGCGAACAAGUACCGUGAGGGAAAGAUGAAAAGAACUUUGAAAAGAGAGUUAAACAGUACGUGAAAUUGUCAAAAGGGAAGCGUUUGACACCAGUGUUGUUUUUCCGAAAAUCAAUUACGAAUGUUUUGUUUUUGAGGAGUUAUGACUUCAUCGGCUUGCUCCUUUCUUUACGAAACUUUCUUAAUGCACUUUUCGGUUAACAAGUCAACAUCAAUUUCUUUUGUUGUAAAAGGGUAUGAGGAAGGUGGCUUUCUUUUCGGAGAAAGUGUUUAUAGCCUUGUGCCUCUACAAUCGGAGAGAUUGAGGUCUGCAGCGUAGAUCCUUCGGGGUUAGAUACGUUUGUGCUAAGUUAUAGCUUUUCAUAGACAACUUGUUGACUAUGUUUAGUCUUGUAGCUUACUCGCUGACGCUAUUUUACCUACGCUUAGGAUGUUGAGUAGCGACAUACGCAC